UACGAAGGGGGCUAGCGUUGUUCGGAAUUACUGGGCGUAAAGCGCACGUAGGCUGACUUUUAAGUCAGGGGUGAAAUCCCGGGGCUCAACCUCGGAACUGCCUUUGAUACUGGAAGUCUUGAGUCCGAGAGAGGUGAGUGGAACUCCGAGUGUAGAGGUGAAAUUCGUAGAUAUUCGGAAGAACACCAGUGGCGAAGGCGGCUCACUGGCUCGGUACUGACGCUGAGGUG
rnacentral:rRNA from 1 species